CUUUACUUUACUUUCCCUCUACUUUCUCACCAACCAAACACUCGCAAACCAUUCUCCUUCCAUUACACUUCACAAACACGCACCAUGAAGUUUGGCAAGAGCCUUAGCAACCAGAUCGAGGAGACCUUACCUGAAUGGCGAGACAAGUUCCUCUCGUACAAGGAACUCAAGAAGAGAUUGAAGCUCAUUGAGCCAAACAAAGGCGGAGAUAGGCCUAUUAAACGCCCCAGAUUGGACGCCGGAGAUUGUACCGACGAACCCUCUGGAGGAGACAAUAAAGAUGCCAUGACAAAAGAAGUGAUUGAUUUCAUUAAACUCUUGGAGGAUGAGCUCGAGAAAUUUAACAACUUCUUCGUGGAGAAGGAGGAGGAAUAUAUCAUCAGAUUGAAGGAGCUGCAAGAUAGGGUAGCAAAGGCUAAGGAUUCCAGCGAAGAGAUGAUAAAAAUAAGGAAGGAGAUUGUCGACUUCCAUGGGGAGAUGGUUUUGCUGGAGAAUUAUAGUGCUCUUAAUUACACAGGAUUGGUAAAAAUACUAAAGAAGUAUGACAAAAGAACUGGUGCUCUCAUUCGCUUACCCUUCAUCCAGAAGGUGUUGCAACAGCCCUUCUUCACCACUGACCUGCUAUACAAGCUUGUGAAAGAGUGCGAGACAAUGCUUGAUCGCCUUUUCCUAAUAAAUGAACCACAAUCUUCGGUUGAAGCAGUUGAUGGGGAUGAAGGAUGUGAUCCUUCAACUUCUGCAACCACCAAGAAUGAUGGUCUGCUCACAAUACCUAAGGAACUUGCAGAGAUUGAACAUAUGGAGAGCUCGUAUAUGAAGAGCACCAUUUCAGCGUUGCGAGUUUUGAAGGAAAUUCGAAGCGGAAGCUCUACUGUUAGUGUAUUUUCAUUGCCACCGCUGCAGUUGAGCGGUUUGGAAACUUGGAAGAAGGUUCCCAUUCUGGAACAGGUGGCCAAGUAAUUGGACUUUGAGAAAGGAAAUGCUACCACCAUAUAUCACUUUGUUUUGAGAUCACCUUUUUUUGGUUGCCUUUCAUGCAUAUUUUAUGCAUGUUUUAGAUACUAACACCGAUGUAAAAUGUUUAAUUCAAGCUGGAAUGAAUAAUAUAUAAGCAGUUAAGC
rnacentral:misc_RNA from 1 species